UACGUAGGGUGCGAGCGUUAAUCGGAAUUACUGGGCGUAAAGCGUGCGUAGGCGGUUCGUGAUGUCUGAUGUGAAAGCCCCGGGCUCAACCUGGGAACUGCAUUGGAAACUAGCGGGCUGGAGUGUGGCAGAGGGGGGUGGAAUUCCACGUGUAGCAGUGAAAUGCGUAGAGAUGUGGAGGAACACCGAUGGCGAAGGCAGCCCCCUGGGCUAACACUGACGCUCAUGCACGAAAGCGUGGGGAGCAAACAGG
rnacentral:rRNA from 1 species